CAGUAGCCGCGGGAAAACGAAGGGGGCUAGCGUUGUUCGGAAUUACUGGGCGUAAAGCGCACGUAGGCGGAUAUUUAAGUCAGGGGUGAAAUCCCGCAGCUCAACUGCGGAACUGCCUUUGAUACUGGGUAUCUUGAGUAUGGAAGAGGUUAGUGGAAUUGCGAGUGUAGAGGUGAAAUUCGUAGAUAUUCGCAGGAACACCAGUGGCGAAGGCGGCUAACUGGUCCAUAACUGACGCUGAGGUGCGAAAGCGUGGGGAGCAAACAGGAUUAGAUACCCCCGUAGUCCCUGUCUCUUAUAC
rnacentral:rRNA from 1 species